UACGUAGGCAGCGAGCGUUGUUCGGAGUUACUGGGCGUAAAGGGUGCGUAGGCGGUGACCUAAGUCAGUUGUGAAAUACGGCAGCUUAACUGUCGAGGUGCAAUUGAUACUGGGUUACUUGAGUACUGAUGAGGUAUGCGGAAUGGACGGUGUAGCGGUGAAAUGCUUAGAUAUCGUCCAGAACACCGAUAGCGAAGACAGCAUACUAAGGAGUAACUGACGCUGAGGCACGAAAGUGUGGGGAUCAAACAGG
rnacentral:rRNA from 1 species